CAGUAGCCGCGGUAAUACGUAGGUCCCGAGCGUUGUCCGGAAUUAUUGGGCGUAAAGCGCGCGCAGGCGGAUCAGUUAGUCUGUCUUAAAAAUUCGGGGCUCAACCCCGUGAUGGGAAAGAAACUACAUGUCUUGGGUACAGGAGAGGAAAGCGGAAUUCCCAGUGUAGCGGUGAAAUGCGUAGAUAUUGGGAGGAACACCAGUGGCGAAGGCGGCUUUCUGGACUGCAACUGACGCUGAGGCUCGAAAGCCAGGGGAGCGAACGGGAUUAGAUACCCCUGUAGUCCCUGUCUCUUAUACA
rnacentral:rRNA from 1 species